AUUAUAGCUCAGGAGAUGGGUGAGGACUACAGAUACAGGUGGGAAACUCUUGAUUGUACAAGGACAGUUAGAGCUUUGAGAGCAAAUGGUAUCCCCAGGGAGAAGGCAGCCCUUCUUGGCAGCAGUUCUCCACGCAGUGACUUGGGAAUGUGAGAGCCUUUUAUCUUCGGAUGCUGCCAUCUUAAACAUGAGCUCACUGCAGUUGCUGUGGAGGGGACAGAGCAUGGACCAGCAUGCAGGGGGUGUAUGGCCAGGUCUGGAAGCAGUUGAAACUCAUGACCUUGCUGCUUGGCCAAACUUCUCCUUGUCAUUCUGCUGAGAGAGAGAACAAGGGCAGGAGAGUGCACACAAGCAAGCAACCUUGACUCCAUGCUCCAUGUUGCCCUGUGGAGUUCGAUGUUCUGCAGAUUCCGUGGGAUUCAGAGGAUUUGCCAGCAUGCUUUCUUCUGAAAUUGGCACACGUGCAUGCCCGAUGAAAUGAUAUUUACUUGCUGAUCAUCUUAACUAGUAGAUGGAAACGAAUCUAAACUAAACAACUCCGCAAGCAAGAUUUCUGCCAGUGGGUGCGCCUCCUGGUUUUACAGUUCCGCUGCAUCCCGGGCUCUCAGGGAACAGGAGAGUA